rnacentral:lncRNA from 1 species
CCCCCCUUUCUCUGGUUAGAUCUCUCUCCCGCAUUCUCCAGUCUCUUCCUACUUCCUCUUGAUCUAUCUCUUUAUCUCCUCCCUCCCAAUCUCUCUCUCCCUCCCAAUCUCUCUCUCCGAAGCUCAGACCUAAUCAGGGCUGGUCCAAUAAGUAUUCGAGUAAGCUCAUAUUCAGCAUCUAAUCUUAUAUAUAUAAAUUAAAAUGAAGAUUUUUAUGUCAGCAAAGCCUCAUCGGUAUAGAUCUCCAUUCACCAUAUAAAACUACAUUUUUAUAGCAGCAAGGGAAUAUAAAGGACCUCUCAUUUAUUAGGAGAAUAUAAAACAUCCUAAGCU